AUAUCAAUAAGCGGAGGAAAAGAAACCAACAGGGAUUGCCUUAGUAACGGCGAGUGAAGCGGCAAAAGCUCAAAUUUGAAAUCUGGCGUCUUUGGCGUCCGAGUUGUAAUUUGAAGAAGGUAACUUUGGAGUCGGCUCUUGCAUAUGUUCCUUGGAACAGGACGUCAUAGAGGGUGAGAAUCCCGUAUAUGGUGAGAGAACCGAUUCUAUGUAAAGUGCUUUCGAAGAGUCGAGUUGUUUGGGAAUGCAGCUCUAAGCGGGUGGUAAAUUCCAUCUAAAGCUAAAUAUUGGCGAGAGACCGAUAGCGAACAAGUACAGUGAUGGAAAGAUGAAAAGAACUUUGAAAAGAGAGUGAAAAAGUAC
rnacentral:rRNA from 1 species